rnacentral:tRNA from 1 species
UGCAGAAUUAAGCAGUUGGUUAGCUUGCCAGCCUCAUAAGCUGGAUGUCACAGGUUCGAGUCCUGUUUCUGCAA